rnacentral:rRNA from 1 species
GCUGGCGGCGUGCCUAAUACAUGCAAGUAGAACGCUGAAGCUUGGUGCUUGCACCNAGCGGAUGAGUUGCGAACGGGUGAGUAACGCGUAUGUAACCUGCCUUUUAGCGGGGGAUAACUAUUGGAAACGAUAGCUAAUACCNCAUAAAAGUCGAUAUCGCAUGAUAUUGACUUGAAAGGUGCANUUGCAUCACUAAGAGAUGGACCUGCNUNGUAUUAGCUAGUUGGNGAGGUAACGGCUCACCAAGGCAACGAUACAUAGCCGACCUGAGAGGGUGAUCGGCCACACUGGGACUGAGACACGGCCCAGACUCCUACCAGAGGCAGCAGUNGGGAAUCUUCGGCAGUGGGNGCAACCCUGACCGACCAACGCCGCGUGAGUGAAGAAGGUUUUCGGAUCGUAUAGCUCUGUUGUAAGAGAAGAACGAGUGUGAGAGUGGAAAGUUCACACUGUGACGGUAACUUAACCAGA